GGAAACCGGGGCUAAUACCGGAUGCUUGAUUGAACCGCAUGGUUCAAUCAUAAAAGGUGGCUUUUAGCUACCACUUGCAGAUGGACCCGCGGCGCAUUAGCUAGUUGGUGAGGUAACGGCUCACCAAGGCGACGAUGCGUAGCCGACCUGAGAGGGUGAUCGGCCACACUGGGACUGAGACACGGCCCAGACUCCUACGGGAGGCAGCAGUAGGGAAUCUUCCGCAAUGGACGAAAGUCUGACGGAGCAACGCCGCGUGAGUGAUGAAGGUUUUCGGAUCGUAAAACUCUGUUGUUAGGGAAGAACAAGUACCGUUCGAAUAGGGCGGUACCUUGACGGUACCUAACCAGAAAGCCACGGCUAACUACGUGCCAGCAGCCGCGGUAAUACGUAGGUGGCAAGCGUUGUCCGGAAUUAUUGGGCGUAAAGCGCGCGCAGGCGGUUUCUUAAGUCUGAUGUGAAAGCCCCCGGCUCAACCGGGGAGGGUCAUUGGAAACUGGGGAACUUGAGUGCAGAAGAGGAGAGUGGAAUUCCACGUGUAGCGGUGAAAUGCGUAGAGAUGUGGAGGAACACCAGUGGCGAAGGCGACUCUCUGGUCUGUAACUGA
rnacentral:rRNA from 1 species